rnacentral:rRNA from 1 species
AGUUUGAUCAUGGCUCAGAUUGAACGCUGGCGGAAUGCUUUACACAUGCAAGUCGAGCGGCAGCGCGGGGGCAACCCUGGCGGCGAGCGGCGAACGGGUGAGUAACAUAUCGGAACGUACCCAGUCGUGGGGGAUAACUAUCCGAAAGGAUAGCUAAUACCGCAUACGUCCUGAGGGAGAAAGCGGGGGAUCGCAAGACCUCGCGCGAUUGGAGCGGCCGAUAUCGGAUUAGCUAGUUGGUGGGGUAAAGGCUCACCAAGGCGACGAUCCGUAGCGGGUCUGAGAGGACGACCCGCCACACUGGAACUGAGACACGGUCCAGACUCCUACGGGAGGCAGCAGGUGGGGUAAUUUUGGACAAUGGGGGCAACCCUGAUCCAGCCAUUCCGCGUGAGUGAAGAAGGCCUUCGGGUUGUAAAGCUCUUUCAGCAGGAACGAAACGGUGGUCCCUAAUACGGACUACUAAUGACGGUACCUGAAGAAGAAGCACCGGCUAACUACGUG